AUGGUUGAAUCGACGCCACCAAAUCAUGGGGGCGAAAAGAAAAGGGUGGUAUUGCAAUUAUUUAAGAAUGACGAGUAUGCUUCAUACGACACUGAGAAAAAAAAAAGGAAAAACAAGACUCCAUCAGAGUGUACAAAUGAUUCCGAGGACACGAACAGUAAAAAGAGGAAAAUCGGCUCUAACAACUUAAAAAAGAGGUCAGAAGUUCCUGAAACCCAGAAGGACCAGCUAGACGUGGUUCGACAGGAUUUCGUGGCGUCACUGAUCAACACUACAAAUCUUGAAAAACAAAUGGUCUUAGUUGAUGACAUUGUUGUGCUAUCAAAGCAUUUGCAAUGCCUCACCCAUAAAGAUGAAUCUGAAGAUGGCGUAUGA
rnacentral:rRNA from 1 species